CAGUAGCCGCGGUAAUACGUAGGGUGCAAGCGUUAAUCGGAAUUACUGGGCGUAAAGCGUGCGCAGGCGGUUAUAUAAGACAGAUGUGAAAUCCCCGGGCUCAACCUGGGAACUGCAUUUGUGACUGUAUAGCUAGAGUACGGCAGAGGGGGAUGGAAUUCCGCGUGUAGCAGUGAAAUGCGUAGAUAUGCGGAGGAACAACGAUGGCGAAGGCAAUCCCCUGGGCCUGUACUGACGCUCAUGCACGAAAGCGUGGGGAGCAAACAGGAUUAGAUACCCCUGUAGUCCCUGUCUCUUAUAU
rnacentral:rRNA from 1 species